UCGAGGGGUAACAGGGAGCUUGCUCCGCUGACGACCGGCGCACGGGUGCGUAACGCGUAUAGAACCUACCUUUUACUGAGGGAUAGCCUUUAGAAAUGAAGAUUAAUAUCUCAUAGUAUUGAGAAGUGGCAUCACUUUUUAAUUUAAAGAUUUAUUGGUAAAAGAAUGGCUAUGCGUCCUAUUAGCUAGAUGGUAAGGUAACGGCUUACCAUGGCGACGAUAGGUAGGGGUCCGUGAGAGGGAGGAUCCCCCACCACUGGUACUGAGACACGGACCAGACUCC
rnacentral:rRNA from 1 species